UACGUAGGGCGCAAGCGUUGUCCGGAAUUAUUGGGCGUAAAGAGCUCGUAGGCGGUUUGUUGCGUCGGCCGUGAAAACCUGCAGCUCAACUGCAGGCUUGCGGUCGAUACGGGCAGGCUAGAGUUCGGUAGGGGAGACUGGAAUUCCUGGUGUAGCGGUGAAAUGCGCAGAUAUCAGGAGGAACACCGGUGGCGAAGGCGGGUCUCUGGGCCGAUACUGACGCUGAGGAGCGAAAGCGUGGGGAGCGAACAGG
rnacentral:rRNA from 1 species